GACGAACGCUGGCGGCGUGCUUAACACAUGCAAGUCGAACGGAAAGGCCCUGCUUUUGUGGGGUGCUCGAGUGGCGAACGGGUGAGUAACACGUGAGUAACCUGCCCUUGACUUUGGGAUAACUUCAGGAAACUGGGGCUAAUACCGGAUAGGAGCUCCUGCUGCAUGGUGGGGGUUGGAAAGUUUCGGCGGUUGGGGAUGGACUCGCGGCUUAUCAGCUUGUUGGUGGAGUAGUGGCUUACCAAGGCUUUGACGGGUAGCCGGCCUGAGAGGGUGACCGGCCACAUUGGGACUGAGAUACGGCCCAGACUCCUACGGGAGGCAGCAGUGGGGAAUAUGGCACAAGGGGCGGAAGCCGGAUGCAGCAACGCCGCGUGCGGGAGGACGGCCUUCGGGUUGGAAACCGCUUUCGCCUGUGACGAAGCGUGAGUGACGGUAAUGGGUAAAGAAGCACCGGCUAACUACGU
rnacentral:rRNA from 1 species